rnacentral:rRNA from 1 species
CCUACGGGAGGCAGCAGUGAGGAAUAUUGGUCAAUGGACGAGAGUCUGAACCAGCCAAGUAGCGUGAAGGAUGACUGCCCUAUGGGUUGUAAACUUCUUUUAUAUGGGAAUAAAACGCUCCACGUGUGGGAUUUUGUAUGUACUAUAUGAAUAAGGAUCGGCUAACUCCGUGCCAGCAGCCGCGGUAAUACGGAGGAUCCGAGCGUUAUCCGGAUUUAUUGGGUUUAAAGGGAGCGUAGGUGGGUUGUUAAGUCAGUUGUGAAAGUUUGCGGCUCAACCGUAAAAUUGCAGUUGAAACUGGCAGUCUUGAGUACAGUAGAGGUGGGCGGAAUUCGUGGUGUAGCGGUGAAAUGCUUAGAUAUCACGAAGAACUCCGAUUGCGAAGGCAGUUCACUGGACUGCAACUGACACUGAGGCUCGAAAGUGUGGGUAUCAAACAGGAUUAGAUACCCUAGUAGUC